CAUGUUCUGCCGAUGUAGAUGCCACUGGUUCUUCACGUUCUGCAGAUGUAGAUGCCACUUUUUAUUCACAUUCUGCAGAUGUAGAUGCUACUGGUUCUUCACAUUCUGCAGAUGUAGAUACCACAACUCUAGGUCCGAACUGGCAACUGAACAUACGGACUUGGUUUGUUCGCAUCUUUGAAAGUUCUUAAGUCGAAUGUUCGUAAGUAGAUGAGUACCUGUACACGUAACUCUGCUGCUCUCCUACGACGCAUUCGUAUUGUGAAGUAAAACAAAACACUAAGACUAUUUUUGUGCACACCCCAUCAGCCGCACAGAGAGGACCCUUGGCCGAUAAACGCGUGGAACCGUGCCGGUAAUUGGUUAAAGCGAAAGCCCGGCUCUGCUGACGAAACGUUGAACCUUUAAACCGCUCCCUGUGGGUUGUGCUCCCUUUGAACUGACAACGCCAAAAUUAUGCUGCUGCUCCCAGGUGUAGGCCUCGGCAAGGUAAGAGGUAAAAACGACGAGCCUACCUUUACCCUACCUUUUACCCUUGCCACAAUACAAUCACUCUACCCUGACCUUUUACCCUUUAACAAGGUCAGAUAAAAGGUCAAAAGCAGUGAGCCUACCUUUACCCUCCCCUUUACCCUUACCCCAUACAAAUUACCCGAUUACAGGGUAAUUAUUGGCGUAUUACUACACAUGAAAAAGGUUUGUAACAGGUAAAUGCUAGGUAGAGCGCUUUAUUCAUAUAGAACACUCUCAAUGAUUCCAAUUUUAAAUGGAGGCCACGCACUGCGCCACGAACCUUGUAGCGAGCGGUAAAUGAGGCGUUUACUGUAAACAAGGUAUUUACGGUAAACAACGUGUUUACGGUAAAUGAGGUAUUUUACCGGGUAAUACUUUGCGCUACCUUUACCCUAACAGGUAAUUCUUCCGCGCUACCUUUACCCUACCCUUUACCUUACCCCUUGGCAUGUCGACACCUUUACCCGGUAAAAAGGGUAAAUUACCUUAACUUGCCUUGCCGAGGCAUACCCAGGAGGAAGGCUGUGCAGCUGAUGGGAUGUGUAAAAUGUUUUAUUUAAUAUAUUUUAGAUUAAUGAUUGGAUGGAGGGAUUUGCCUGCGUGUCGCGUUCGGCGUUAACGCUGCGGGGACGGGGAGCGCCUCCGUGCGGCGGCUUAGUUUACAAUAUUACAGUGGAUGUGGGUUGGGGGGGGGUGGUGACGGUGACUUGGAAGUGGAGAAAGUGCCCGAGGUGGUGACUGGUAAAGAGUGCCUGAGUGGAGAAGGCAACUGGGAAGUGGAGAAAGUGCCUGGGAAGUGGAGGUGAUUGGAAAGUGGAGAGUCCCUGAGUGGAAAAGGUGAAUGGGAAGUGGAGAAAGUGCCCGAGUUGAAGUGAUUGGUUAGGAGUGCCUGGGUGUAGAAGGCGACUGGGAAGUGGAGAGGGCGACUGGGAAGUGGAGAAGGUGACUGGGAAGUGGAGAAGGCGACUGGGAAGUGGAGAAGGCGACUGGGAAGUGGAGAGUUCCUGAGUGGAGAAGGCGACUGGGAAGUGGAGGCGACUGGGAAGUGGAGGUGAUUGGAAAGUGGAGAGUUCCUGAGUGGAGAAGGCGACUGGGAAGUGGAGAGUUCCUGAGUGGAGAAGGCGACUGGGAAGUGGAGAAGGCGACUGGGAAGUGGAGAAGGCGACUGGGAAGUGGAGAAGGCGACUGGGAAGUGGAGAAGGCGACUGGGAAGUGGAGAAGGCGACUGGGAAGUGGAGAAGGUGACUGGGAAGUGGAGAAGGCGACUGGGAAGUGGAGAAGGCGACUGGGAAGUGGAGAAGGCGACUGGGAAGUGGAGAAGGCGACUGGGAAGUGGAGAAGGCGACUGGGAAGUGGAGGUGCCCGAGUUGAGGUGACUGGUAAGUGGAGAAGGCAACUGGGAAGUGGAGGUGACUAGGAAGUGAAGAAAGUGCCUGAGUUGAGAAGGCGACUGUUGAGCGGUGACUUGAGCGGAGGUGACCGAGUGAAUUUUGGCGUCAGCGGGUUGGUGCAGGGCAUCUGGGCUGGGGCCGACACUGCGCCAAGUGAGGUUGUUACUAUUGUAGUGGCUCAGGAACCAGAGGAGAACGUAUGUGAGGCAACACAAUAUUUAUUUAACUGUACUGAAUACAAGGUCCUCAACACAAAGGGGUAACGGCCCCUUUCACCCAAUACCUAAGGAGUUAUGUCCUCCGGGCUACACUGCCUCCUAACACUGGGAGCACGCUAGCUCUGAGCCCUCCAGCUAGGGGCCUAGGGGAGCCCACGCUGACGCGACUGUCCCAAGGUCUCCGGGUCUUGACCGCUGGCCUCACUGAGCUCCGGCCCUCAGGACAGCGGAGCUUGGGGUCAAGGGUCCUAUCUUCAGCUCCGUCUUCGGUCUUCAGCUUUGAGAUGACCGAGCCGGACCCGUUAGAGGUCCGGCUUAUGUACAGGUCCGUGGCUUGCUCCGCCCUAGCCACGCCUCCCUUUCAGAACCUUCUGGAAGGUGACAUCAUCACCCAGUUCCCCCUCCCGGGGUUUGGGGAUUUGUGUCCCAGGAUCCGUUUUCCCAGGGAUUGGCGUUGGCCCCUUGAGCCAUGAUCCUUGACACUGGCGUGACCCCGCUUCUGCCUCCUGUUGACGAGAAGGGGGAGCUCCCCACUAACAGCAUGGGGAGUGCCGAUUAAUGCCUCGCCACUACUGUGGAGCUUUGUUGCUCGUGAGGAGGCUCCGGGCGAGGUCCGCCUUGUGAGCGUGCGAUUACACUCGUGCGGUGAGAGCCCAGUGCGGAUGGAAUAAAGGAAGCAACCACGGGCAGGCUGCGGUGUGACCCUGGGAAUUUGAGAUGAUGCUGCUGGUGGUGAUGAUGGUAAUGGCCGUAAUUGUGAUGGUAUUGGCUGAUGCAGUCAUUGACGAUGCGUAUUCAAAUUAUGCUUGUGAUUUAACUCGUGGGUAUCCAAAGCGAAUAACCACGAUUCCCGGUUGAUGUGUGUGGGUUCUAGGUUGUGACACGUUAGGUGAUGUACCAGGCUAGGGUCAAGGGACAGACCCUGGCAGGUGCUAUGCAAAUCACCCGUGCUCCCCACUUUGCUGCGUUUUAUCCGCCUGGGCGCUGCGCCCCGUUGUUGUUAGCGUCGCCGGCCCACACCCCGCGCUCUCUCUGCCGCGACACUCAAGACUCUGCUCAUCUCAUACUCGGCCUAUUUUUAUUAAAAAAUGGGGGACGAAUCCGUUCGACAGACCUAUGAAGUGAAUUAUUUACAAAAACAAAAGCAACUUGUCAAAAAAAA